rnacentral:rRNA from 1 species
AGUGAACGCUGGCGGUAGGCCUAACACAUGCAAGUCGAACGGCAGCACAGUAAGAGCUUGCUCUUACGGGUGGCGAGUGGCGGACGGGUGAGGAAUACAUCGGAAUCUACUUUUUCGUGGGGGAUAACGUAGGGAAACUUACGCUAAUACCGCAUACGACCUACGGGUGAAAGCAGGGGAUAUUCGGACCUUGCGCGAUUGAAUGAGCCGAUGUCGGAUUAGCUAGUUGGCGGGGUAAAGGCCCAACAAGGCGACGAUCCGUAGCUGGUCUGAGAGGAUGAUCAGCCACACUGGAACUGAGACACCGUCCAGACUCCUACGGGAGGCAGCAGUGGGGAAUAUUGGACAAUGGGCGCAAGCCUGAUCCAGCCAUACCGCGUGGGUGAAGAAGGCCUUCGGGUUGUAAAGCCCUUUUGUUGGGAAAGAAAAGCAGCAGGUUAAUACCCCGCUGUUCUGACGGUACCCAAAGAAUAAGCACCGGCUAACUUCGUG